rnacentral:tRNA from 1 species
GAGCCCAUAGCUUAAUUGGAUAAAGCAAUUCCCUUCUAAGGAAUAGACUGUCGGUUCGAUUCCGACUGGGCUCACAA